GUAGGUGGCAAGCGUUGUCCGGAAUUAUUGGGCGUAAAGCGCGCGCAGGCGGUUCUUUAAGUCUGAUGUGAAAGCCCACGGCUCAACCGUGGAGGGUCAUUGGAAACUGGAGAACUUGAGUACAGAAGAGGAAAGCGGAGUUCCACGUGUAGCGGUGAAAUGCGUAGAGAUGUGGAGGAACACCAGUGGCGAAGGCGGCUUUCUGGUCUGUAACUGACGCUGAGGCGCGAAAGCGUGGGGAGCAAACAGGAUUAGAUACCCUGGUAGUCCACGCCGUAAACGAUGAGUGCUAAGUGUUAGGGGGUUUUCCGCCCCCCUUAGUGCUGCAGCUAACGCAUUAAGCACUCCGCCUGGGAGUACGGCCGCAAGGCUG
rnacentral:rRNA from 1 species